rnacentral:tRNA from 2 species
CUCUGUAGCUCAGUUGGCUAGAGCGAACGGUUCAUACCCGUUAGGUCGUGGGUUCGAAUCCCUCCGGAGC